rnacentral:rRNA from 1 species
UACGUAGGGUGCAAGCGUUAAUCGGAAUUACUGGGCGUAAAGCGUGCGCAGGCGGUCUUGCAAGUCAGAUGUGAAAUCCCCGGGCUUAACCUGGGAACUGCAUUUGUGACUGCAAGGCUGGAGUGCGGCAGAGGGGGAUGGAAUUCCGCGUGUAGCAGUGAAAUGCGUAGAUAUGCGGAGGAAUACCGAUGGCGAAGGCAGCCCCCUGGGAUAACACUGACGCUCAUGCACGAAAGCGUGGGGAGCAAACAGG